rnacentral:rRNA from 1 species
ACGACAUUGUUUUGACUAUUUGCAUGUAUAAAAGUUCUAAUAAAUAAGAUAGGGUAUUUCUACAUAGCUGGUGGGACCCACGGCAAAUCGAUCAUAAAGUCUUCAAAAAAGAAUAGAUAUGAUUGCAUUGCAUGUAGUAACAGAUGCGAUCAUACCAACACUAAUGCACCGGAUCCCAUCAGAACUCCACAGUUAAGCGUGCUUGGGCGUGAGUUGUAGAUAGAGAUGGGUGACCUCCUAGAAAGUCCUCGUGUUGCAUCCCUC